GGUCGUUUCGUUAAACUUUACUGAGCUCGCCAACCACGUCCUGCCCGUUGGGCUGUGGAAGGUUAAACUAAUUAACGGAUUCUAAGCAUGUAGAGCCGAUGGCAGAGUGCUGACGGACGCGGGUUCAAUUCCCGCCGUCUCCACCA
rnacentral:tmRNA from 1 species